rnacentral:lncRNA from 1 species
UGGAGAUAUAGUGCUGACCAAGAAGCCCUGCUUACUCUGGAAAGAGAACUACAAAGUUAUACAAGUCUUCAGGAAAAACUUUGCAGCUUAACUUCUGAAGACUUCUGUAGUACAGAUUUCCACAAAAAUCUGGAACUAAAAGACCACAGUGGAGCUGAUACUUUAAGGGGCUGGGAUGAAAGCCAAAUGGAUGAUGAGGAAGAAAUUCUGAAGGAUAAGCAACAGGUUCUUGCGUUACAGUGAACAUGCAGAGAACUUAAUGCAAUUGUUAUUCUUUACAUAAGAUACAAAAACAAGAAGCAGAUGAAGAGGUGUCUUGAGUGCUGCUGAUAUUAUUUAUAAGGAUUAUUUUGUAAGUCUGUGAAUAAAA